UAGGGAAUCUUCCACAAUGGACGCAAGUCUGAUGGAGCAACGCCGCGUGAGUGAAGAAGGUUUUCGGAUCGUAAAGCUCUGUUGUUGGUGAAGAAGGAUAGAGGCAGUAACUGGUCUUUAUUUGACGGUAAUCAACCAGAAAGUCACGGCUAACUACGUGCCAGCAGCCGCGGUAAUACGUAGGUGGCAAGCGUUGUCCGGAUUUAUUGGGCGUAAAGCGAGCGCAGGCGGAAUGAUAAGUCUGAUGUGAAAGCCCACGGCUCAACCGUGGAACUGCAUCGGAAACUGUCAUUCUUGAGUGCAGAAGAGGAGAGUGGAAUUCCAUGUGUAGCGGUGGAAUGCGUAGAUAUAUGGAAGAACACCAGUGGCGAAGGCGGCUCUCUGGUCUGCAACUGACGCUGAGGCUCGAAAGCGUGGGGAGC
rnacentral:rRNA from 1 species